CCAAGUUCUGGACCUAGGUGCUCUGGCCUCUGCCUCCCCUCCCUACGCAUGCGCACUGGGUCCCCGUCCACCCUCCCGCAACCACCUGAGCCACGCCCACAACCCCGAACCCACGUCUCCCCACUCUCCUUCCAGACCCCGGUUCCCCCACGCCCACCGCACCCAGCCGGAAGCUCCUGCGCACCUGGGCUGGGUGAGCCGGUGGGCACUCCGGGGGGAGUCGGGGCGUCACUGCCGCUCGGAGUUGCCACAGCGACCGGAAGGAUCUCGAUGGAGACGGCAUCCCCUGGCCCCCGCACGAUACGGAUUAACCCCUUCUCCUGCAGCUCCUCCACCUUCAGCUCGAGCGCCGAGGGCCGCGCCGCCGGGACGGAGGGUCUCCAACUCCUUUCGAGCCUGGCUUAGCUGCUUUUCCAGCUCGGCGAUCUUGGCCAUGGAUUCGUUCUCCGCGUCCCGAAGCUUCUCUGUCAGCUGUGGCACAGCUCAUGAUGGGAAAAAUGAGACUCCGAGAGAAGAAGAAACCUAUCCAAAGUCACAUGGGCUUGGAAGGGGCAGAGUCGGGAUUUGAACCAGAUCUGCCUGACCUCAACACCCACGCUGCUAAGCACAGAGCCACACUCUGCAGUUGAACUGCCCAUCAUGACUUCCACAUCAGUGCCUCUUGACAAUUCUAUUGUGUUUCCAACAACACUGGGAAGCCCUACCGCCUCCCUCCAUCUGCCACAUCGUCCUUCUCCCGUCAUUGCUCAGAUAUGCCUGAGUCUUUGCUCAUGCUGUUCCUUCCACCUGGAAUGCCCCUCCCUGUCCCCAUCACUGCCUGUAAAGCCCGUAUCCAUCUGCGAGACAUAGUUCCAGUGCUCUCUCUUCUGGAAGACCUUCCUGAUGCCCCGGGAGGUAGCCACCUCCCCUCUCAGAGCUCCCGGUCACACCUCCACGAUAGCCUGUCCAACAUUGUCCCCUUCUAGACCAAGGGCUCCCAAAGCCAGGGUGAUCUCUCUCUCUCCUGAGCACCUGCUACCAUGCCUGAUACAUAGGAAAUGCUAUAAAAUAUUUGUUAAAUGAGUGAAUGAAUGAGCAAACAAAGGAA